AGCUCCUCCAACCCCGCCCCCUGGGACAACUACGCCGCCCUCCAUGCUGCCCUCAACAACAUCGCGCACCAGCAGCAGCACGGCUCCGGCGAGUGGUUCCUCGACACUGGAGCAACUUCCCACGUCACCGGUGAGACGGGACCUCAAAACCCGGCGCAUCCUAAUGACGUCCAGUAGCCAUGGAGACUUAUAUCCGUUCUUCAGCUCCAGCGCAGUCCAGCAGAUCCUCUCCGUCGAUGGCAGCUUGUGGCAUCAACGCCUUGGGCAUCUUAGCAGUAGUUCCCUUUCAGUCUUAGCUAAAACUUUUCUUCAAUCACCAUGUAAUAGAGAUAGUUUGAAUUCCCAUAUUUGUGAGUCCUGCCAAUUAGGCAAGCAAUCAAGAUUACCUUUUUCAUCC